rnacentral:lncRNA from 1 species
UGAAAUGAUAUUUUGUCCAAUAAUAAUUUAUAAAAUUUAUUGAUGAGGAAAAUAAUUUCAAAUUUUAAUUUAUGAAUAAUGCAAUGAAGUACAUAGAAAAGAUAGAGAUGGACUUCGCUCCUCAAGUCAACUUAACCAAAAAGCCGAAUAAAUAUCAUUCUUCUCCCUCUCCCAGACGUUUCGUCGUGCACCAUAACUAAACCUUUUCUCCUCUCUCUCUCUCUCUCUCUCUCUCUCUCUCUCUCUCUCUCUCCUUCUCC